AUUGAACGCUGGCGGCAUGCCUUACACAUGCAAGUCGAACGGCAGCACGGGAGCAAUCCUGGUGGCGAGUGGCGAACGGGUGAGUAAUAUAUCGGAACGUGCCCAGUCUGGGGGAUAACGUAGCGAAAGCUACGCUAAUACCGCAUACGAUCUAUGGAUGAAAGCGGGGGAUCGCAAGACCUCGCGCGAUUGGAGCGGCCGAUAUCAGAUUAGGUAGUUGGUGAGGUAAAGGCUCGCCAAGCCGACGAUCUGUAGCUGGUCUGAGAGGACGACCAGCCACACUGGGACUGAGACACGGCCCCAGACUCCUACGGGAGGCAGCAGUGGGGAAUUUUGGGACAAUGGCGCAAGCCUGAUCCAGCAAUGCCGCGUGCAGGAUGAAGGCCUCGGUUGUAAC
rnacentral:rRNA from 1 species